CGUUUUGCUGAUGGUCUUGCAGUUCUUCGGAGUAGUAUCCGGGAGUUCCUCUGCAGCGAAGCAAUGCAUAGUCUUGGAAUCCCAACUACAAGAGCACUCUGUCUUGUGAUGACAGGAAAAGAUGUCAGCAGGGACAUGUUUUACGACGGGAAUCCAAAGGAUGAGCCUGGUGCCAUUGUCUGCAGAGUUGCUGAAUCCUUUCUUCGCUUUGGCUCUUACCAACUACAUGCCUCUAGGGGUAAAGAGGACCUUGAGAUUGUGCGUACUUUAGCAGAUUACACAAUUAGACAUCAUUUCCCCCAUCUAGAGAACAUGUGUAAGAGCGAAAGCAUAUCAUUCAGCAUAGGCGAGGAAGAUGAUACGGUUGUGGAUUUAACUUCAAACAAAUAUGCAGCAUGGGCAGUGGAAGUUGCAGAGCAGACUGCUUCCACAAUUGCGAGGUGGCAAGGUGUUGGUUUCACACACGGAGUGAUGAAUACCGAUAACAUGAGUGUGUUAGGCCUCACCAUUGAUUAUGGCCCUUUUGGAUUUUUAGACGCGUUUGAUCCCAGUUUCACACCCAAUACCACUGAUCUACCUGGCAGAAGAUACUGCUUUGCGAAUCAGCCGGAUAUAGGUUUAUGGAAUGUUGCUCAGUUUGCUACUUCUCUAUCUACUGCACAGUUGCUAAAUGAUAAGGAGGCAAAUUAUGCCAUAGAGAGGUAUGGCAUCAAAUUUAUGGAUGACUAUCAAGCUAUCAUGACCAAAAAGCUUGGUUUGGUCAAGUACAAUAAACAAAUGAUUGGUGAACUACUUAAGAAUAUGGCUGUCGAUAAAGUUGAUUACACAAACUUCUUCCGAUUACUAUCAAACAUCAAAGCCGAUCCUACAAUUCCAGAUAACCAGUUACUGAUUCCUCUCAAAGCUGCGCUAUUGGAUAUUGGUCAGGAGCGCAAGGAAGCUUGGACAAGCUGGGUGAAAUCCUACAUACAGGAG
rnacentral:misc_RNA from 1 species